rnacentral:lncRNA from 1 species
AGUAGCGCGAUUCUGUAACUCGUUAUGCUGUCGUUAUGGACUCAUAACGACAAGUUUCGUUAUGCUACCGACCGCGUCGCUAUUAUAACGACAAAUGCGAUUCUGUACACUAUUCUUAGCGAGUUUUGUCGUUAUUAGUAACGAAAAGUGUCGUUAUGAUGUCGUUACGGUGCGAGCGGAUAGCGAGGCUCAGAGACCCCCUCGGUACGCUAUAACGACCAUUAUAACGACACUUUGCACACGAGCUAGAGGAGUGGUGUGCGUUUCCCAUAUUUUUCUCGACUCCGAGAAAGUGCUUCGAAAAGUGCUCCGAAAGUGAAAAAUAAUUACGACGUUUGAAAUAACAAGUAAGAUCAUGGCUAUCGAAUACCUUGCUUGGGAUGUAUUCGUUCUUGAGGAAAGAUUACGUCGACUCGAACGUCGUGUGGAAAGAAGGCGACUGAGAGAUGCUCAGAAUCCUUUUCAGCUACCACGAGAAGAGUUUCUCAGCCUUUUUCGCCUGCCUCAAGAAGCUGUGAUGAAUCUUGGUUAACACCUCAGCAAAGCAGCAUAGGUGAUGCUGGAUAUCCGUUGGAGCCUUGGCUGUUAACACCUCUGGCCAAUUUUCCUGAAGAUACGCGACAACAUCAAUAUACACAACAACUAUGUAAGGCUAGAAGCGUCGUCGAGCGGUUUUUUGGAGUUUUUAAAUCUGUAUGGAGAUGCUUGUCAUACCAGCGAGUCUUGAUGUACGAACCAGCGUUUGCAGCGAAAAUUGUUAAUGC